UACGGGGGGGGCAAGCGUUGUUCGGAAUUACUGGGCGUAAAGGGCUCGUAGGUGGCCAACUAAGUCAGACGUGAAAUCCCUCGGCUUAACCGGGGAACUGCGUCUGAUACUGGAUGGCUUGAGUUCGGGAGAGGGAUGCGGAAUUCCAGGUGUAGCGGUGAAAUGCGUAGAUAUCUGGAGGAACACCGGUGGCGAAGGCGCUCUGCUAGGCCGCAACUGACACUGAGGGACGAAAGCUAGGGGAGCGAAUGGG
rnacentral:rRNA from 1 species